rnacentral:rRNA from 1 species
AUGAACGCUCGGCGUGCCUAAUACAUGCAAGUCGAGCGAACGGACGAGAAGCUUGCUUUUCUGAUGUUAGCGGCGGACGGGUGAGUAACACGUGGAUAACCUACCUAUAAGACUGGGAUAACUUCGGGAAACCGGAGCUAAUACCGGAUAAUAUUUUGAACCGCAUGGUUCACAAGUGAAAGACGGUCUUGCUGUCACUUAUAGAUGGAUCCGCGCUGCAUUAGCUAGUUGGUAAGGUAACGGCUUACCAAGGCAACGAUGCAUAGCCGACCUGAGAGGGUGAUCGGCCACACUGGAACUGAGACACGGUCCAGACUCCUACGGGAGGCAGCAGUAGGGAAUCUUCCGCAAUGGGCGAAAGCCUGACGGAGCAACGCCGCGUGAGUGAUGAAGGUCUUCGGAUCGUAAAACUCUGUUAUUAGGGAAGAACAUAUGUGUAAGUAACUGUGCACAUCUUGACGGUACCUAAUCAGAAAGCCACGGCUAACUACGUG